rnacentral:rRNA from 1 species
ACUAAGCGUACACGGUGGAUGCCCUGGCAGUCAGAGGCGAUGAAGGACGUGCUAAUCUGCGAUAAGCGUCGGUAAGGUGAUAUGAACCGUUAUAACCGGCGAUUUCCGAAUGGGGAAACCCAGUGUGUUUCGACACACUAUCAUUAACUGAAUCCAUAGGUUAAUGAGGCGAACCGGGGGAACUGAAACAUCUAAGUACCCCGAGGAAAAGAAAUCAACCGAGAUUCCCCCAGUAGCGGCGAGCGAACGGGGAGCAGCCCAGAGCCUGAAUCAGUGUGUGUGUUAGUGGAAGCGUCUGGAAAGGCGCGCGAUACAGGGUGACAGCCCCGUACACAAAAAUGCACAUACUGUGAGCUCGAUGAGUAGGGCGGGACACGUGGUAUCCUGUCUGAAUAUGGGGGGACCAUCCUCCAAGGCUAAAUACUCCUGACUGACCGAUAGUGAACCAGUACCGUGAGGGAAAGGCGAAAAGAACCCCGGCGAGGGGAGUGAAAAAGAACCUGAAACCGUGUACGUACAAGCAGUGGGAGCCUCUUUUAUGGGGUGACUGCGUACCUUUUGUAUAAUGGGUCAGCGACUUAUAUUCUGUAGCAAGGUUAACCGAAUAGGGGAGCCGAAGGGAAACCGAGUCUUAACCGGGCGUUAAGUUGCAGGGUAUAGACCCGAAACCCGGUGAUCUAGCCAUGGGCAGGUUGAAGGUUGGGUAACACUAACUGGAGGACCGAACCGACUAAUGUUGAAAAAUUAGCGGAUGACUUGUGGCU